rnacentral:rRNA from 1 species
AUACGUAGGUGACAAGCGUUAUCCGGAUUUACUGGGCGUAAAGGGCGUGUAGGCGGUCUUGCAAGUCAGAAGUGAAAUUCCUGAGCUCAACUCGGGCGCUGCUUCUGAAACUGCAGGACUUGAGUGCUGGAGGGGAUAGCGGAAUUCCUAGUGGAGCGGUAAAAUGCGCAGAUAUUAGGAAGAACACCGGUGGCGAAGGCGGCUAUCUGGACAGUAACUGACGCUGAGGCGCGAAAGCGUGGGGAGCAAACAGGAUUAGAUACCCUGGUAGUCCACGCCGUAAACAAUGAAUACUAGGUGUAGGGGGUAUCGACUCCCUCUGUGCCGCAGUUAACACAAUAAGUAUUCCGCCUGGGGAGUACGGCCGCAAGGUUGAAACUCAAAUGAAUUGACGGGG